rnacentral:pre_miRNA from 1 species
GCAUGAUGAUGAUGAUGAUGAUGACGAUGAUGAUGAUGAUGUCUGCCAUCAUCAUCGUCAUCGUCAUCAUCAUCAUCAUCA